AGUGAACGCUGGCGGUAGGCCUAACACAUGCAAGUCGAACGGCAGCACAGUAAGAGCUUGCUCUUACGGGUGGCGAGUGGCGGACGGGUGAGGAAUACAUCGGAAUCUACUUUUUCGUGGGGGAUAACGUAGGGAAACUUACGCUAAUACCGCAUACGACCUACGGGUGAAAGCAGGGGAUCUUCGGACCUUGCGCGAUUGAAUGAGCCGAUGUCGGAUUAGCUAGUUGGCGGGGUAAAGGCCCACCAAGGCGACGAUCCGUAGCUGGUCUGAGAGGAUGAUCAGCCACACUGGAACUGAGACACGGUCCAGACUCCUACGGGAGGCAGCAGUGGGGAAUAUUGGACAAUGGGCGAAAGCCUGAUGCAGCAAUACCGCGUGGGUGAAGAAGGCCUUCGGGUCGUAAAGCCCUGUUGUUGGGAAAGAAAAGCAGCAGGUUAAUCCCCCGCUGUUCUGACGGUACCCAAAGAAUAAGCACCGGCUAACUUCGUG
rnacentral:rRNA from 1 species